CAAGGUUGUCACUCACAACUUGUUGACAAAUUGUUGAAUUGCAGGACGAUAACAAGUUGUUGGAACAACUUGUAACAAGUUUGUUGAGCUCAACAACCUUGUAGCAAGUUAUCAACAAGCCGUUGACAACUGUCAACAAGCUGGGAACAAGCAGUGCGAACACAUCCUGUUGACAAGUUGUUGAAACAGCAUUGCUACAAGUCUGCUGCAGGUUUGUUACAACUUGUGCGUUUUUACGUGUGUAG